rnacentral:rRNA from 1 species
GACGAACGCUGGCGGCGUGCUUAACACAUGCGAGUCGAACGGAAAGGCCCUGCUUGCAGGGUACUCGAGUGGCGAACGGGUGAGUAACACGUGGGUGAUCUGCCCUGCACUUCGGGAUAAGCCUGGGAAACUGGGUCUAAUACCGGAUAGGAGCCAUUUUUAGUGUGAUGGUUGGAAAGUUUUUUCGGUGUAGGAUGAGCUCGCGGCCUAUCAGCUUGUUGGUGGGGUAAUGGCCUACCAAGGCGGCGACGGGUAGCCGGCCUGAGAGGGUGGACGGCCACAUUGGGACUGAGAUACGGCCCAGACUCCUACGGGAGGCAGCAGUGGGGAAUAUUGCACAAUGGGCGCAAGCCUGAUGCAGCGACGCCGCGGGGGGGAGGACGGCCUUCGGGUUGUAAACUCCUUUCGCUAGGGACGAAGCUUUUUGUGACGGUACCUAGAUAAGAAGCACCGGCUAACUACGUG